rnacentral:rRNA from 1 species
GACUGGGAUAACACCUGGAAACAGAUGCUAAUACCGGAUAACAACACUAGACGCAUGUCUAGAGUUUGAAAGAUGGUUCUGCUAUCACUCGUUGGAGUCGGACCUGCGGUGCAUUAGCUAGUUGGUAAGGUAACGGCUUACCAAGGCAAUGAUGCAUAGCCGAGUUGAGAGACUGAUCGGCCACAUUGGGACUGAGACACGGCCCCAAACUCCUACGGGAGGCAGCAGUAGGGAAUCUUCCACAAUGGACGAAAGUCUGAUGGAGCAACGCCGCGUGAGUGAAGUAAGGGUUUCGGCUACGUAAAGCUCUGUUGGUAGUGAAGAAAGAUAGAGGUAGUAACUGGUCCUUUUAUUUGACGGUAAUUACUUAGAAAGUCACGGCUAACUACGUGCC